rnacentral:lncRNA from 1 species
AAGUAGUCUUGCAUCUCCUUUGCCUUCUGUCUCUGAAACUCCAAAGUGAUCACAUUCUGGUCACCAGCAGCUGCCACAGAAGCCGGCUUUGGCCGAGGCGAAGAAGAAGGAGGAGGUGUCGGCGGUUGUGAUGGAGAAGGAGGAACUGGUUUCAAAGGAGGUGGUGGAGAAGGUGCCACAGGUCUUCUCAAAGGCCCUUCAGUCUGAGAACUCCUGAUAGUCACAAUAUAAGGUUUGGCUGUCGUAGACAAUCUACAACAAGUGGAGGACGAGGAAGAAGAAGAAGAAGAAGAGGAAGAUGGGGAUGAAGGGUUUGGGAUUUUGA